AUUGGGACAGUACGUGCAGGGCUUGGCUGACUAUGGGUGGCGCAUUUGCGGGCUGUGUGCGCCGAGACGCUUGGCGCAGCAGCGUGAACCUGGUUUUGAGGCCAGCUUGCUGGUACCCGAACUUGGGGGAACGCUAUUUGCUCUGGGUGUAUCAAAUGAACAUGGCUUACGGGCUAAGUUGGGUGUCAAGCUGUUUGCCGGUGGCGGUCACAUGUGGACACGUGCUGUGUAGGCGGUUUGAUCUCUGACGAGCCAACAUGUUCUUUCUCGGUGUAAGAGCUGGUCAUCUCUCCGACCCGUCUUGAAACACGGACCAAGGAGUUUAUCGUGUGCGCAAGUCAUUGGGCGUUGAAAACCCAAAGGCGCAAUGAAAGUGAAUGUCUCCGCAAGGAGCUGAUGUGCGAUCCUGGUCUCUUCGGAGGCCAAGCGCAGCAUGGCCCCAUCCUGACUGCUUGCAGUGGGGUGGAGGAAGAGCGUACGCGGU
rnacentral:rRNA from 1 species